CGGGGGAGGCCGGAUCCUGGGCUGUGUCCCGGCGCCCUGUGCUCCGGGGCCUGCUCUGUUGGAUUCGCGAUACCGCCCCGCAGCCCCCU
rnacentral:pre_miRNA from 1 species